UACGUAGGCAGCAAACGUUGUUCGGAAUUACUGGGCGUAAAGAGUGUGUAGGCGGCUUUGUUAGUCUGGUGUGAAAUCUCCCGGCUUAACUGGGAGGGUGCGCUAGAAACUGCAGAGCUAGAGUAUCGGAGAGGAAAGCGGAAUUCCUGGUGUAGCGGUGAAAUGCGUAGAUAUCAGGAGGAACACCGGUGGUGUAGACGGCUUUCUGGACGAUCACUGACGCUGAGACACGAAAGCGUGGGGAGCAAACAGG
rnacentral:rRNA from 2 species